rnacentral:rRNA from 1 species
AGAGCGAACGCUGGCGGCAGGCCUAAUACAUGCAAGUCGAACGAGCCCUUCGGGGUUAGUGGCGGACGGGUGAGUAACACGUGGGAACGUGCCUUUUGGUUCGGAACAACUCAGGGAAACUUGAGCUAAUACCGAAUGUGCCCUUCGGGGGAAAGAUUUAUCGCCAUUAGAGCGGCCCGCGUCUGAUUAGCUAGUUGGUGAGGUAAAGGCCCACCAAGGCUACGAUCAGUAGCUGGUCUGAGAGGAUGAUCAGCCACACUGGGACUGAGACACGGCCCAGACUCCUACGGGAGGCAGCAGUAGGGAAUCUUGCGCAAUGGGCGAAAGCCUGACGCAGCCAUGCCGCGUGAAUGAUGAAGGUCUUAGGAUUGUAAAAUUCUUUCAGCGGGGACGAUAAUGACGGUACCGCAGAAGAAGCCCGGCUAACUUCGUGCCAGCAGCCGC